rnacentral:rRNA from 1 species
GCCUCUGAAUUUUAUAAGAGUCCAGCCUGCCCAGUGACCAUAGUUCAACGGCCGCGGUAUCCUGACCGUGCGAAGGUAGCGUAAUCACUUGUUCUUUAAAUGGGGACUAGUAUGAAUGGCAUCACGAGGGUUAUACUGUCUCCUUUUUCCAAUCAGUGAAACUAAUCUCCCCGUGAAGAAGCGGGGAUAAAACCAUAAGACGAGAAGACCCUAUGGAGCUUUAAAUUUCUCUUUAAGCGCCGGUCUAUUUACCAAGUCCCAGACCCCUUUACAUUAACCCCCGCGCCAUGAAGACGACUUUUAGGUUGGGGUGACCGCGGAGUACAAAAGAACCUCCACGUUGAACCAGGCCCCCAGGCCCUGAGCAAAGGACCACAACCCGAUGCACUAAAAAACUAACAUCCAUUGACCCAAUAUUUUUGAUCAACGAACCAAGUUACCCUAGGGAUAACAGCGCAAUCUACUUUAAGAGUCCAUAUCGACAAGUGGGUUUACGAYCUCGAUGUUGGAUCAGGUAUCYCAGUGGUGCAGCYGCUACUAACGGUUCGUUUGUUCACGAUUAAAA